rnacentral:rRNA from 1 species
GACGAACGCUGGCGGCGUGCUUAACACAUGCAAGUCGAACGGAAAGGCCCCUUUGGGGGUCCUCGAGUGGCGAACGGGUGAGUAACACGUGAGUAACCUGCCCUUGACUUCGGGAUAACUUCAGGAAACUGGGGCUAAUACCGGAUAGGAAUCCUUGCUGCAUGGUGGGGGUUGGAAAGCUUCGGGGGUUUUGGAUGGACUCACGGCUUAUCAGCUUGUUGGUGGGGUAGUGGCUUACCAAGGCUUUGACGGGUAGCCGGCCUGGGAGGGCGACCGGCCACAGUGGGACUGAGAUACGGCCCAGACUCCUACGGGAGGCAGAAGUGGGGAAUAUUGCACAAGGGGCGGAAGCCUGAUGCAGCAACGCCGCGUGCGGGAUGACGGCCUUAGGGUUGGAAACCGCGUUCAGCAGGGGCGAAGCUUGUGGUGACGGUACCUGCAGAAGAAGCACCGGCUAACUACGUG